UGGUGUAGCUCAAUGGUAGAGCCUGUUCUUAGCAUGCAUAAGGCCCUGGGUUCAAUUCUCAGACCAA
rnacentral:tRNA from 1 species